ACCGGGCAUGCUCAGUACGGCGAGUGAGCGGCAAAGCUCAAAUUUGAAAUCCCCCGGGAAUUGUAAUUUGAAGAGAUUUGGGUCCGGCCGGCGGGGGUUAAGUCCACUGGAAAGUGGCGCCACAGAGGGUGACAGCCCCGUGAACCCCUUCAACGCCUUCAUCCCAGAUCUCCAAGAGUCGAGUUGUUUGGGAAUGCAGCUCUAAGUGGGUGGUAAAUUCCAUCUAAAGCUAAAUACCGGCGAGAGACCGAUAGCGAACAAGUACAGUGAUGGAAAGAUGAAAAGCACUUUGAAAAGAGAGUGAAAAAGUACGUGAAAUUGUUGAAAGGGAAGGGCUUGCAAGCAGACACUUAACUGGGCCAGCAUCGGGGCGGCGGGAAACAAAACCACCGGGGAAUGUACCUUUCGAGGAUUAUAACCCCGGUCUCAAUUCCCUUGUUGCCCCGAGGCCUGCAAUCUAAGGAUGCUGGCGUAAUGGUUGCAAGUCGCCCGUCUUGAACCACGGACCA
rnacentral:rRNA from 1 species